rnacentral:rRNA from 1 species
AUACGUAGGGUGCAAGCGUUAAUCGGAAUUACUGGGCGUAAAGCGUGCGCAGGCGGUUUUGUAAGACAGUUGUGAAAUCCCCGGGCUCAACCUGGGAACUGCCAUUGUGACUGCAAGGCUGGAGUGCGGCAGAGGGGGGUGGAAUUCCGCGUGUAGCAGUGAAAUGCGUAGAUAUGCGGAGGAACACCGAUGGCGAAGGCAAUCCCCUGGGCCUGCACUGACGCUCAUGCACGAAAGCGUGGGGAGCAAACAGGAUUAGAUACCCUGGUAGUCCACGCCCUAAACGAUGUCAACUGGUUGUUGGGGAUUUAUUUUCUCAGUAACGAAGCUAACGCGUGAAGUUGACCGCCUGGGGAGUACGGCCGCAAGGUUAAAACUCAAAGGAAUCGACGGGG